rnacentral:rRNA from 1 species
AGUGAACGCUGGCGGUAGGCCUAACACAUGCAAGUCGAACGGCAGCACAGGAGAGCUUGCUCUCUGGGUGGCGAGUGGCGGACGGGUGAGGAAUACAUCGGAAUCUACUUUGUCGUGGGGGAUAACGACGGGAAACUUACGCUAAUACCGCAUACGACCUACGGGUGAAAGCAGGGGACCUUCGGGCCUUGCGCGAUUGAAUGAGCAGAGGUCGGAUUAGCUAGUUGGCGGGGUAAAGGCCCACCAAGGCGACGAUCCGUAGCUGGUCUGAGAGGAUGAUCAGCCACACUGGAACUGAGACACGGUCCAGACUCCUACGGGAGGCAGCAGUGGGGAAUAUUGGACAAUGGGCGCAAGCCUGAUCCAGCCAUACCGCGUGGGUGAAGAAGGCCUUCGGGUUGUAAAGCCCUUUUGUUGGGAAAGAAAUCCAGCUGGCUAAUACCCGGUUGGGAUGACGGUACCCAAAGAAUAAGCACCGGCUAACUUCGUGCCAGCAGCCGCCGCGG